GCUUCAUCUAUUUUUCCUCCCAUGACAGAUGAAGACGGCAAGAGAUGCAGCAAAUCUCAUUUAUGAUCUAUCUGAAGAAUCAGCGUCAUCGAUUUGGAGACUCGAACCAUAACAAAAAGAGCAUCACAGUUUCAAUUUAAUUGCUCCUGGCGCUUCCUAUUUCAGCAACAAACAUUAAAUAAUUAAUCCAAUAGAGAUGAUAUAUAUGGAAAUUUCAAAACCAAAAAAAGAAACUUUCAAAACCAAAAUUGCGAAGCCAUAGAAAUCGUGGAUCAUGGAAUUGCGAAGACCAAUGUUGACAUAUGGGAAUUUGGUGUCCCAAUGAGCAGAGAUCACUAAGAUUGGUUUUCGGGAGGAACUUUUUGAGUUCAUGAUUUGAAGAAUUGUCUCGCCUAUAAGCUAUCGUCCAUAGUUUGAGAUUCAUGCGACAAGAAGAAGGUUUGAUUCACUUUCUCCAUUUAAUUGAAUCAUCUUCAUAGAUAUAUUUUCAUACUUAAUCAAUGUUUUUACCAAAAAAAUAAUGUUAUUUUAUUAUUUUGGUUUUAUGUGGUUUGGGAUUGGUGUAGAUUAUAAACCGAUUAAACCAAUGUUUUUGUGUUCUGAGAUUUCAAACUUUUGAACUAAAUAAAUAUACGUUUUGGGGAAUAUCCAAUAUCAAUAUGUAUCAUAGUUUGGACUCUAUCUAUUCCAGUAUGAUAAUUCCCGUGGA